rnacentral:lncRNA from 1 species
UUUCCAUCAUCUCAUGGUUCAUUUGGAUAGGUCUGGCUUUAGUGGGAAUGGUUUGUUCGUCAAACCCUGGGAUGUAAGGAAGUUCAACCAAGUGUUUCUUCCGUUCCCAGAAAGCAUUAGGGAAUUCGGAAUAAAUUUCUUUUUCAAAGGCUUUAUGGAGAUUGGUUAUUUUAGUAAUCAUCUCCGGGGUUUUCAAGGAUUGCUCAAUUUUCUUGAUAUGAAUAUCUUGUUUAAGGAAAUUGAUAUGGGACGAGAGGCGGUUAAUUUUAAAAACCGUCCUUUCCUUAAUAAGGUGUCCUUCUUCUUGCGAGAGGGGUCGCAAUAAAGGGAAAAAUAAAGUUUGGUUUAACAGAGUUGUACGGAUUCCAUCGUAGUCACUCCAGUAAGGUCGAAUCUGGUUGACAAAGGGAAUUCCUAAAAUGAUAUCUUCAGUGAUAUCAUCGGUGAUGACAAAGUCGUUA